rnacentral:rRNA from 1 species
UANNAAUCUUCCGCAAUGGACGCAAGUCUGACGGAGCAACGCCGCGUGAGUGAAGAAGGUUUUCGGAUCGUAAAACUCUGUUGUUAGAGAAGAACAAGUGCUAGAGUAACUGUUAGCGCCUUGACGGUAUCUAACCAGAAAGCCACGGCUAACUACGUGCCAGCAGCCGCGGUAAUACGUAGGUGGCAAGCGUUGUCCGGAUUUAUUGGGCGUAAAGCGAGCGCAGGCGGUUCCUUAAGUCUGAUGUGAAAGCCCCCGGCUCAACCGGGGAGGGUCAUUGGAAACUGGGGAACUUGAGUGCAGAAGAGGAGAGUGGAAUUCCAUGUGUAGCGGUGAAAUGCGUAGAUAUAUGGAGGAACACCAGUGGCGAAGGCGACUCUCUGGUCUGUAACUGACGCUGAGGCUCGAAAGCGUGGGUAGCAAACAGGAUUAGAUACCCUGGUAGUCCACGCCGUAAACGAUGAGUGCUAAGUGUUGGAGGGUUUCCGCCCUUCAGUGCUGCAGUUAGCGCAUUAAGCACUCCGCCUGGGGAGUACGACCGCAAGGUUG